rnacentral:rRNA from 1 species
ACCCCUACACUUAGUUGCCAGCGGUUCGGCCGGGGACUCUAAGAGGACUGCCUGGGAUAACCAGGAGGAAGGUGGGGAUGACGUCAAGUCCGUAUGUCCCUUAUGUCCAGGGCUACACACGUGUUACAAUGGCCGGUACAAUGGGUCGCGAAACCGCAAGGUGAAGCCAAUCCCAAAAAACCGGCCCCAGUUCGGAUUGGAGUCUGCAACUCGACUUCAUGAAGUCGGAAUCGCUAGUAAUCGCGUAUCAGCACGACGCGGUGAAUACGUUCCCGGGUCUUGUACACACCGCCCGUCACGCCAUGGAAGCCGGUAGUGCCCAAAGCAGGUGGCCUAACCUUCGGGAUGGAGCCUGUUAAGGUAAGACUGGUAACUGGGGCGAAGUCGUAACAAGGUAGCCGUACCGGAAGGUGCGGCUGGAACACCUCCUUU